GUACUUGCUUCGGCAGCACAUACACUAAAAUUGGAAUGAUACAGAGAAGAUUAGCAUGGCCCCUGUGGAAGAAUGACAUACAAAUUUGUGAAGCAUCCCAUAAUUUU